CGUUUUUAUCCCUUUUCAGCUAUGGCUUUGGUCUUGGUAACCGGAAGGUGAAAAGGGGGAGAGAAAUGGGAAUUCAGAAGUGGGAAAAGAGAGGGAGAUGGAAGAAGAACUCAUCGGCGCGGUGCCGUGCUCUUCCCUCGCUGUUGAUUCCGUACUCCGUGUUGGAACGGCAGGUGCAAUUUGGGGGUCAUGCAUAGGUCCUUAUGAUGCUCGUAAAAGAGGCCUGACUGGCGUAGCUCAGGCUUCCUUUGUGGCAAAGACAAUAGGGAAAUUCGGUUUCCAAUGUGGGCUUGUUGCUGGAGUUUUUACUGCUACUUGUUGUGGAAUUCAAAGAUAUAGGAGGCAGAAUGACUGGGUGAAUCCUCUAAUUGCGGGUGCUGUGGCAGGGGCAGCUGUUGCUGCUGGGACAAGAAGUUGGACACAGGUCGUUGGGAUGGCUGGUCUGGUUUCUGCCUUUAGUGUUGCCGCUGACUAUUCCAAAACCUUUUGAUUUAUCUGCUAAAAAAUAACAGAGUUGGUCAAGCUAGGUGAUCUUUCCUCGUUGGCCUCUACCAUAUACACCUGGUUACCAUCUACAUCCCACCUGUUUGAUUUUUUUUAGCCAAAAACAAACAGCGUCUAAACUAGCAGCCAUCUUGAUUGGAACAUGUGUCACCUGAUUGGUGCAACGGGGAGAAAAUUGAAAGGAAAGGUGCUCAAAAGACUGACCUAUGGACAGAAUAUCCUCUGCAAUCUGGCCCGACUCGUUGAAGAUGGAAGAAGGAUUUCUUAGAGCAUGCACCACCUGGAGACAGCCCGUUUCCAGUAGCUCCAUCCUGUAACCCAUGUCUAAAGCAAUUUGCAAAUCAAAGCAAGCAGUCUGCUGGCAAAAUUUUGGAAAAAUUAACUCUAUCUAA